UACGAAGGGGGCUAGCGUUGUUCGGAAUUACUGGGCGUAAAGCGCGCGCAGGCGGUCUUCCAAGUCAGUGGUGAAAUCUCCGGGCUCAACCCGGAAACUGCCAUUGAUACUAUCAGUCUUGAAUAUCGUUGAGGUGGGCAGAAUAUGUCAUGUAGCGGUGAAAUGCAUAGAUAUGACAUAGAAUACCGAUUGCGAAGGCAGCUCACUAACCGAUCAUUGACGCUGAGGCACGAAAGCGUGGGGAUCAAACAGG
rnacentral:rRNA from 1 species